CUUCCCCGGCGCCCCGAGCGCGCUGUACGGAUAAACAAACAGACUCCCGCCGUGAUGGACACGAGUGCGUGGGGCGCUGCCCGGCUCUGUAACGAGAAGCUUUUAAUAAAAUCUGUGCUCGGAAGCCGGGGCAGCGCUUGGUCUGGUGGUUCGCUGUUACUCCGUCUCCGGGAGGCCGCGCCGGGCAGCGGUGCCGGUCACCCAACACCGCGCUCCGGGCGGGACCCGCGGGCAGAGCCCGAGCCCGGCGCGCAGGUCACGUAACAGGGAUACGGUUCCCUCUUGCCGCGCUGCUUCUCCCCUGGUAGUAUUUUUAACCCAAAGUGAACUUGAGCCAGACUGCGGCUGGUAAAUCUCGGUUUGGGAUUUGCUUUUGCCAGUUUUCCACAGACUUGGGUGCUGCACAGCGAACAGGAUUUGACCUCUAUCCCAGCUUUUAUAACAAAUGUCAGCUCAAAUGCCUUUUUCCGCCUUACACCAGCCUUGCCUUGCUGCAGCUGGGGGGCUUUUUUUCCUCUUUUCUUGCCUAGAAUAGAAGGCAGUGUUUUGACUUUGUUCUAAUUUCAAAUCCUGGAUAGCUGCAAUUUUGUGUUACAGUAGUAAGCAAAAACAACGUGGCAGACUUCAAAAACUUUUUAAGCAAAGAUUGUUACACCUCUUAAAUAAGUACAAAGAUAAAAAGUUUUAAAUAAUGGUCAUAUGAUUUUUGUUCAUGAAACACUUUUUAAAUUUUUGUGUCUUCCUCCUAAAUAUUGGAAUGCCUGCUCACAAUCUGCUUCUGGAAUAACACCUGUCUUUUUUUUUUUUUUUUUUUCCCCUGGGGUUAGAAAUGUGUUUCCUAUUUCUUAAAUAAAAGACCAGAGACUUCUUAGAAAUAUCAUGUAUCUGUGUUUAGUCCCUUUGUGACCAUCACUAAACACUAUUAUAGAAUAUAGAAAUGAUGAGACUACUUGCAUCCUUUCUUCCUUGUAUCAACAAAUGUGGAUUUAUACAGUAAAAUACGAAGCCACUGAAAUAGGUUUUGUUCAAAAUGGAUAUUUGUGAUUCACAUGUAUACUUCCUUGUAUGUGACUUUGUUUUCUUUCGCUUCCACCACGUCUUUUGAAAUGAAGGCCAAAGAUGCUGUACAUCACUUCACUGUGUAAUACCAACAUGAGAAGAGGGUUUCUAAACUUUUAAUUGAUUAACAGACAUUCAGUAAGAAAUGUAGCUGCUGAUAGUGAUUAAAGAGAGUGUAAUUGUUGGUGUAUUUCAUUCAUUCUUCAUUUGAUGGAAUACGCACUACAUUUUAAAUACAAAAAUGGGACAGAAAAAUCCUUGCUGGUUGUUUUCUGUAGUUUUAGAAAAAAGCAUUUUAUUUUAUUCUCUUUCAUAAUAGAGUGGAAGACUCUCAGAUCCAUAUUUACAAAUACAGAUCUCUGCAUUUCCUCACAAGCUUUGUCCCCUCACAGAUCAGAGAGAAAAGGGAACAGAGAGGUGGUUGUGUAUUUGCUAAGCAUCACUUACUGCAGACCUAAAAUGAAAUUGUUGCAUGUACUAAAGAAGAGUGUAAUCAAUUUUAAUGCUUUCAUUUAAUUGAGAGAACACCAGUAUUCAGAUUUGUACUCUAAAUAUGGUGUUUGGAUCUGCACUGAAUGGUCUGCAUAUAAUCAAUUUUUUUGUCAUAUGUUUGGUGAUAGGUGUGUCUACUAAUCUGGGUAAAAAAAAAGUAAAGAACCAGUCAAACAAAAAAACCCAACACAAAAAACACCCCAAGGGUCUGGAAGGGGGAGAGGGGUGAAUACAGAAGAUUCAAAAACAUCUCGUGUCAAGUCAUCAAUCUGGCAUUUUCUUGGAAACCUGCACCAGCACAGCUAUUGCUAUACAAAAUCUGUAGAUCUUACUCUGCAGAGUAGCUGUUCUGCUGCAGUAAGAAGCAGCCUCUUAUUGCCUAAGUGCAGCUACAGCUCUGUAGGUGCGUAUUUUGAUAGAAGACAAGGCCCCAACUCGGAAUUUCUGUUGGCACCGUUUUGAAACAAAUGGGAUAUUCACACUUCACCUCUAUUUUUGGAUCUCUGGAAGCAAGUGGAGAUCAGUUACUCAUGCCACACUUCUCAAGGCUUUGGUGCAGAGAGAAGGCCGUGUUAGCUUUCUGCCACUAAUCUAACUAAAGUUAGUUUUAUGGGAAGUGACAGGCAGUCCUCAUCUACAGAUCUACCCAAUUCAGUUUGAGCUUCCUGGUACCUUACCUGCACACAGCUUCAUGUUCAUGACAAGGCAGUGAUUUUAUUUUUUUUUUAUUUUUUUUAACUGAUUCAGAAAUUGUGUUGCCUCAUCUGUAGCCUGAGAUCAUAUUUUGUAGUGAUUAGGAAAACCUGAGCAGCCUGCCAUUAAUGAUCUAUGUACAUCCCCCAGCAUGAAAGCAUUGAUACCUAUUUUGUUCUUCAAAGCUUUUUGAUGACUUUAUUGUACUGCAAUUAAAAAGGUGAGUGAGAAUGAAUACAACACCUUCCAGCUUUCCAAAUUUCUAAAACAGCCUUUUCAGCUGCACAGGAGGUGAAAAUGUGCCUGGCUCUAGUUGGCCUUUCAGGUAAAAAAAGCACUCAAAAACAGCCAAGGGUUCUCUACUGCUGUUGUUGUCUGGCAGUGUUGGAUUUAUAGUAUUAUGUGUUAAGUGGAAAAAAAAGUCAGUGUUGGAAGAGCCACUUUAAGAUGAGAGGAUAAAGAAUUUGGAGGAAGCAUGUUCCUGUUUAGAUACAUGUAUAUGGUUUACCUAAAAUAUGUACAUACACACAAGUUUAGAGAAGCGCUGAUACUUGGUAGUACUUGCAGUGAUUUUUGAGUGGAGUGCAGAGAGGUACAGGAUAUUAUCCUAAAAGAAUAAGCAUUCCUGUUUUUGUCCUGAGAUUUGUUAAAAAGAGUUGAUACUUUGUGGGGAAAAAAAAAAUAAAAUAAAACCAUUAGGUGAAAGGUGGAAAAAUGGUUCUGAAGGUAAGAGAGUCCUGCCAAUUGCUGUUCUGGAUUUUGUUACUUUUCAGAUGUUCUCUGAUGGGAGACUGCCCUGGCUACUGGAGACACAGUUGCAGGAAGCCUUGCAGUGAACUGUUUUGAAGCUACCUUAGUGCAGGAAGCUGAAAUAAAAAUCUCUAUCUUUGAUGCUUUCACACUUUUUGGAGGGGAUAGUUAAAGUGAUUUGUAAAAAUCUCUGAUCUUCUAAGUGUAUAGUGAUAGCCUGUUUAGUCAAUGAGGAAAUCAGGAAAACUCCUUUUCCAUGCACAUGGCAGAACUAAAGCUGGAUUGUAUUUUCUUCUUUAGGCAGAAGCUUUUUCAAAUAGAUUUCUAAACUUACAAAAGAGCAGGUAGCCUAAGAAAUCCAGGAAUUCUUUAAGCUUAUCUACUGGCUGAUGACCUGGAACCAUAGCUCCUCAUAGCAUUUUUGGGUAGUAAUACUGGCCAAAGCAUCUUCCAUGUCUUUUCCAUUGCACUUGCACAAAUGCUUGGGCUACUGCGUGGGGAAAUGAUCCAGCUGUUUGAGAGGUGUGGAGCCUGGUUCAUUUUCAUGUGGAUCAUUCCUUUCCCUGAUUGCUGCUGUACCAGUGUAAUCAGGGGAAGGGAUGGGGCUGGAAUGAGCAGGGAGAUAAGGGCAGCUCAAGCAGCUCUGCUGCUAAAUAAGAAAACGCAGCCUAAGUAAAAACUUUUAAAUUAUUGCUGUAUUUAUACCUAAGCUGGAUGGCAUAGAUCCUGCUGGAGUUUUCUUCUUGCCACAGAGCUGGAUCAUUCAGCUAAGUCUGAGUCCUUACAUGUGCUAACCAUGAGCAAAUGAACAUAAGCAACAACUGUUCCCAAACUUCAAUAUCAUGUAUUAAACUGAUUUGUUGUGAUGCUUAUUUACUUGUCUUAAACACCUUUUGUGUAUGUUUUUUAGCAAAUUCUCUGUGCACAUCCUUUACUUCCUUUUUUUUUAUUCUUCACAUUGUAAAUUUGUCUGUGGCUGUUCACUGCAGCUCUUUGCUGCAAUAUUUUAACCAUCUCUUCCAAAACAGCAACCUCCUGUGACAUUUUGGGUCCAAUAUUACGUGCACUUUUUUUAUAGGCGCUACCCUAAAUGUCUCAUUCUCUAUGCUGUUCCAGUAUCAACUGGAUUUUACUUUUCCUUGUACCUUUCCUGGGGCUUGAAUAGCAAAACAUCUUCUCAUCUGUAAAAUCUCUCUCAUUAUCUUUUAUACACCAUUAAAUAAUGGAUGGGAAGCAUUAUUUUCUUGCCUAUUUUUUCUGAUGACACAUCAUCUGGCUGUGUGUAGCUGGCUUGGCCUCAAAAUCCACUGGUGCCUGUCCAUUGCUCCAAGUAGCAUGCAAUAUGAGCAGGAUUUGUACAUUUACACCUUUCUGGAUUGUAGUGAGCUUUCUUUCUCUUGAAAAAAAAAAACAAACCCUAGGGCAUUACUGUAGGUGUGGGACCCCUUCCCUCUUUGUGAAACUCAUCCAGAUUUUCUUAUUGUGCUGAUAGGAAAAAUCUGGGAGACAAAAAGGGAGGGAAUGUGUGAAGAAGGGUACUGUGUAACCAACAAGUAAUCUGUUGCUGUGGUUUUGUCUGAGCUGAUACAACUGUCUGGCUCUCAGGUGACAGUCCUCUUGCCCUCUCCCUCCUGGUGCUGGACCGUCCCUUUACAUUGUCUGUAGUGUUGACUAUAUAUAAAAUGUAAUAAGCCAUUUCAAAUCACUAACCCAGGACAGAACUGUCCGAACUGUCCUUUUUAGUAGAUCAUUUUCUCCUGCAUGAGUGAGCUGAAUUGCCUGGUGAUUGAGAUGCUGUUAGCACAAGCACCAAUGCAGAUUUGCAGUGACAGUAGGGGAGGGAAGGAGGGGGUCACAGCUUUCUCCCUUCAGCAGCAGAGAGCUGUGUCAGCAGACCCAUCUUGGGGAAUGGCAGCAUAUCCAUGACUUAGAGUGAAAGAAAGAAGAGUUGGACUCUGUCCAUAGCAAUCAGAGCCACAUGAGUUUGUCUUUGCAGCUAGGAAAACUAAGAAUGCAGUAAGUCAAAAAAUAAACAAUAGCAACAACAAACCAAACUAGGGAAAUUUCCUUGUUUUAAAAGCCUGGUGACACCUGUGUGACUGAGCUAACUGCUCCUUAUCAGUCUUCUCAAGAGGUUAGGUCAGUGUACCUCUUAGGUACCUUUCUUUAUGGAGAGCCCAGUCAACAGGGUGGAAUUAUACAUAAGAUAUUUUUAAUGAAGCCCUAGUUGAAAUAUGAAGCUCCAGAAGGGGUCCGGGUCCAGCAAUUACGUGCACGUCCUGUCAGUUGGCCCAAGGCACCUGGGCAGUGAGCUGGCUGUAGUGUCUCACUGUAGUGUCACUUUUGCUACAAACUGAUAAGUGCCUUGGCCUGACUUCCAGAUUGUAAAAUAAUUAAUGGUGGCUGAAACUACUGGCCUGGAAGUUGCAGUGUAAAGUUAAUGUGGCAUGUGUAACCAGUGCACAUUACCCUGGACUGGGGAGAGGAAAAAGUAUGUUACCUGCUGCAGAUAGCUGCUUUGUUAGUAACGUGGCUGUUUGAAAAUUACAUUUCUACCCAGUCCUCAGAAAGCUAAAGUUGAUUAUAUAAAAAAAUACUCAUCCUGUUUCCAGCCUCCCAUUCUUAACCAGAGUCAUCACAACAGUAAUCAAAUUACAGAAUAGAGGUGUUUUUUUCAGUAUCUUUGUUGGCUUGCCACAGUCUUGUGACACCUGUACUCAUGAUUUGAUCUACUUUGCUUUCAUUGACAGGCCUGGCUGCAGCAGGGUAGACUCUGCUCCACCUUCCCUGUUCCUGCUCCUGUUCCUGUGCCAGUAGCACCAGUACGACUGCCUGUGAACUGGAUCAGAGAACUGCUCCAGGCUAGAAAUUAGUUGUGUUUCCUUGUCUGUAGUGCAAAUUGGUUGCCCAGUUCCAUUUACUAGACACCUUCACAGACAAGUGUAAAGGUGUAAGAAAGAAAAAAAUUUAGAAGAAACCAGAGCCUGAGCUGGCAGUGCUGCCAGCAGAAAUGCUUGCAAGACUGUGGUUGCAGAAAGCAAAAUGGAGAUUUUCUUUAGUGUGCAACACAUUGAUGUAAAACAUGGAUUCUGUUUCUUCCUCUUGCCCUUUCUGGUACGUCAGCUUGUAAGCUCCCAUUGCUUACUCCGGUCAUUGCAGACCUUCAGCAUUACCAGCAAAUCACACCCCAUGUGAUUUGUUCCAUGGGGACAGCCAUGUUGCUCACAGGGUGGAAAAGGAAACGUUUACUUUAUUAACAGGAAAGUCUCCUGAAUACCUGGGACUUCCCAGAAGAUUUAUGUUUCAGAAAUGUAAAUUUACAUUAAUAUUGCUUUAGAAUGUCAUAUUUAAUCAGUGUGAUCUCUAAGAGCCUUUGGUCCAGUCUUACAGUAUCUAUUCUGAUAAAUUACAUGUGUCUAUUAAUAUUUUCACACUGUAACAGAGACUCUGAAAACAUUUCUUUGGAAUAAAGAGAUUUCAGGUAAUAAUAAACAUGUUUAUUUGGUU